UACGUAGGGGGCUAGCGUUGUCCGGAAUCAUUGGGCGUAAAGCGCGCGUAGGCGGCCCGGUAAGUCCGCUGUGAAAGUCAAAGGCUCAACCUUUGAAUGUCAGCGGAUACUGCCGGGCUAGAGUCCGGAAGAGGCGAGUGGAAUUCCUGGUGUAGCGGUGGAAUGCGCAGAUAUCAGGAGGAACACCAAUAGCGAAGGCAGCUCGCUGGGACGGUACUGACGCUAAGGCGCGAAAGCGUGGGGAGCGAACAGG
rnacentral:rRNA from 1 species